rnacentral:pre_miRNA from 1 species
CAUGCACCGGUGGGAUCCCUUGGCCUGGCCUGCACCCUCUCACAAUCCAGGACCCCUCGGGGGAUGUUGGACAGCCAUUUUCGGCCUGAUCCCUGCAGGCCAGGCCAAGGGACCCCACCGGUGCAUG